CUGGCGGAAACUAAUAACCGGAUUUGAAGAAGAACCGGGGUAAAUUAAAGAGAUCACUUUCUUUAGAAAAGCCGACUAAAACAAUUGCCAGCUGUCGCGGUUAGAAUUGAGCGCUUUCGAGUAAAAAAGAGACAUUGCUUAUUAAGGAGACGGUGAAAUGUUACUUAUUAAAAUUAAUAAUAAAAAAAAAUGACAAGGAUUAGAUACCCUUUUAAUUUAUUUUUCUUAUCAGAAAACUGAGGGAAACCUGCCAGCUCUAAAAAUAAGGGAGCCUGGAGAUUAAUAUGAUAGUCCACAUUAUAUUUCCUUAUAUGAUUGAUUUUAAAUCGCUGUCCUUUAAAGAAUAAAAUUCUAUUAGUCAAGUGAGACAAAUCUUAAGAUAAGGUUCUUCUGGGCUACACUAAUACAAUUUUAACGACCGUACUUAUUAGUAAUUAAAAAGAAAUUAUGAAUUUUUUCAGGGGACAAAUAGCUCGGUGACUCUCAUAGAGUAAGCCGCAACAAGGUAAGAACACUGGAAGGUGUUCUUCU
rnacentral:rRNA from 1 species